rnacentral:tRNA from 1 species
GGCGCCGUGGCCAAGUGGUAAGGCAAGGGUCUGCAAAACCCUGAUCAGCGGUCCAAAUCCGCUCGGCGCCU